rnacentral:rRNA from 1 species
GGGUUGUGAGGUUAAGCGACUAAGCGUACACGGUGGAUGCCCUGGCAGUCAGAGGCGAUGAAGGGCGUGCUAAUCUGCGAUAAGCGCCGGUAAGGUGAUAUGAACCGUUAUAACCGGCGAUACCCGAAUGGGGAAACCCAGUGUGAUUCGUCACACUAUCAUUAACUGAAUCCAUAGGUUAAUGAGGCGAACCGGGGGAACUGAAACAUCUAAGUACCCCGAGGAAAAGAAAUCAACCGAGAUUCCCCCAGUAGCGGCGAGCGAACGGGGAGGAGCCCAGAGCCUGAAUCAGCAUGUGUGUUAGUGGAAGCGUCUGGAAAGGCGCGCGAUACAGGGUG